rnacentral:rRNA from 1 species
GAUGAACGCUGGCGGCGUGCUUAACACAUGCAAGUCGAACGGAAAGGCCCAAGCUUGCUUGGGUACUCGAGUGGCGAACGGGUGAGUAACACGUGGGUGAUCUGCCCUGCACUUCGGGAUAAGCCUGGGAAACUGGGUCUAAUACCGGAUAGGACCACUUCUUGGAUGUUGUGGUGGAAAGUUUUUUCGGUGUGGGAUGAGCUCGCGGCCUAUCGGCUUGUUGGUGGGGUAAUGGCCUACCAAGGCGUCGACGGGUAGCCGGCCUGAGAGGGUGUACGGCCACAUUGGGACUGAGAUACGGCCCAGACUCCUACGGGAGGCAGCAGUGGGGAAUAUUGCACAAUGGGCGCAAGCCUGAUGCAGCGACGCCGCGUGGGGGAGGACGGCCUUCGGGUUGUAAACUCCUUUCGCUAGGGACGAAGCGUUUUGUGACGGUACCUGGAGAAGAAGCACCGGCUAACUACGUG